AUUGAACGCUGGCGGCAGGCCUAACACAUGCAAGUCGAGCGGAGCGGCGGACGGGUGAGUAAUGCCUAGGAAUCUGCCUGGUAGUGGGGGAUAACGUCCGGACACGGGCGCUAAUACCGCAUACUAUCAGAUGAGUCUAGUUAGGAUUAGCAAGAUGGUGGGGUAAAGGCCUACCAAGGCUACGAUCAGGAACUGGUCUGAGAGGAUGAUCAGUCAACCUGGAACUGAUACACGGUCCAGACUCCUACGGGAGGCAGCAGUGGGGAAGUUUGGACAAUGGGCGAAAGCCUGAUCCAGCCAUGCCGCGUGUUGUAAGAAGUUCUUCGGAUUGUAAAGCACUUUAAGUUGGGAGGCGUUACCAACAGAAUAAGCACCGGCUAACUACGUGCCAGCAGCCGCGGUAAUUC
rnacentral:rRNA from 1 species